rnacentral:rRNA from 1 species
GAUGAACGCUGGCGGCGUGCUUAACACAUGCAAGUCGAGCGAGAAGUUUUGAAAAGAUUCUUCGGAUGAAAUUUAAAAUGGAAAGCGGCGGACGGGUGAGUAACGCGUAGGCAACCUGCCCCAUACAAAGGGAUAGCAUUUGGAAACGAAUAUUAAUACCUUAUGAAACUUAACUAGUGCAUGCUAGGUAGGUCAAAGAUUUAUCGGUAUGGGAUGGGCCUGCGUCUGAUUAGCUAGUUGGUGAGGUAACGGCUCACCAAGGCGACGAUCAGUAGCCGACGUGAGAGGGUGAACGGCCACAUUGGAACGGAGACACGGUCCAAACACCUACGGGAGGCAGCAGUGGGGAAUAUUGGACAAUGGGGGAAACCGUGAUGGAGCAACGCCGCGUGAAAGAUGAAGGCCUUUGGGUCGUAAAGUUCUGUGCUAGGUGAUGAAAACUGACAGUAACCUAGGAGAAAGCCCCGGCUAACUCCGUG